rnacentral:rRNA from 1 species
UGGGGAAUUUUGGAUCAAUGGGCGAAAGCCUGAUCCAGCAAUGCCGCGUGUGUGAAGAAGGCCUUCGGGUCGUAAAGCACUUUUGUCCGGAAAGAAAUCCUUGGCUCUAAUACAGUCGGGGGAUGACGGUACCGGAAGAAUAAGCACCGGCUAACUACGUGCCAGCAGCCGCGGUAAUACGUAGGGUGCAAGCGUUAAUCGGAAUUACUGGGCGUAAAGCGUGCGCAGGCGGUUUGCUAAGACCGAUGUGAAAUCCCCGGGCGUCACCUGGGACUGCAUUGGUGACUGGCAGGCUAGAGUAUGGCAGAGGGGGGUGAGAAUUCCACGUGUAGCAGUGAAAUGCGUAGAGAUGUGGAGGAAUACCGAUGGCGAAGGCAGCCCCUGGCAGUACUGACGCUCAUGCACGAAA